UACAGAGGUGGCAAGCGUUGUUCGGAAUUACUGGGCGUAAAGGGCUCGUAGGUGGCCAACUAAGUCAGACGUGAAAUCCCUCGGCUUAACCGGGGAACUGCAUCCGAUACUGGAUGGCUUGAAUCCGGGAGAGGGAUGCAGAAUUCCAGGUGUAGCGGUGAAAUGCGUAGAUAUCUGGAGGAAUACCGGUGGCGAAGGCGGCAUCCUGGACCGGCAUUGACGCUGAUGAGCGAAAGCUAGGGGAGCAAACGGG
rnacentral:rRNA from 1 species